AGUUCCACUUUGCGUCGUUGACAUAACCAAACCAAAAUCGAGUUGCUUAACAAAAAACAGUGAGACACAACAAAUUUUCUUUCUCCUUCUGCGCUAAAUCAAACCCUAGGCUUCUCAUCGAAUCAAAAGAAAAGUCAAUCAAAUUCGAAUCCAAUUGAUUAAAUACCCAUCGUCUGAUUGAUUUCUCUUUGUUUCUUUAACUCAUUAAAUUCAGAGGAACUUGAAGAGAAGUAAUAACGAUGAAGGAGAUUCAUUUCUGACCAACUUCGUUUUCAACUCAGUCAUAUCGUUUCUGGUUCUUUAACCAAAUUAUGAUAUUUACGAAAUUCGUGAAUAAAUGGAUCAAAAGAAAACUUUCGUCUGUGAAGGGAGGAACUCCCUUGUUCUACCAAGUGAGGCGUCCACAUCGAAGAAAAAAGACCAUGUUGUAGAAGAUGAUGAGUAUUGCAUUACCAGAAGUGGGGAUGAAAAUACCAACUCUUGGUAACUUGGUAGCAGCUCUAGUGAAGCCGAUGCCGAAGCCAUUAUAAACAAUAGCAAAAAGAAUAAAGGAACAUCUCAGGAGGAAGAUGACUUAGACAAAGUUCUGGCCGAGCACGAUAAUGCUCCCAUUGUUUCAAAUUACUGCUUCUCCGAAAGAAGAAAAGGUUCAAGAUCAACCUGAACAGUUAGGCUCGGUUGAUGCUACUGGAGGGGAGAAGGAAGCGGAGGUAUAAACAGGGAAGUCUGCGGCAGCAAAGAAGAACAAAAAGGAGAAGGAGAAAAAGGCAGUUGCUGCAGCUGUAGUGGGAGUUCAGGAUGCAACGCAGGAGGAAACAGAGAGUCAAAAACGUGAUGACAAGCACCCGAAUCAUGUUAUAAAAAUUCAGGAGGCUUUGCAAAGACGUAAAGAACUUGAAGAGAGAAUGAGGAGGGAAGAGGAAGAUAAAGAAAGGAAGGAGUAAGAAAGGCACCUCAGGCAAGAGGAACUCAAAAAACAAGCAGAAAAAGCCAAGCGAAGGAAAAAGAAAAAGAGAGGAUGCUGAUGAGAAAGAAGGAAGGGAAGCCUAUAACAAGGAAGCAGAAAAAUGAAGCUCGUCGGCUUGAACUAAUUUAGGUUUUAGAAAAUCCCCCAUUCUGAUCUGAAUGGUUGUUUUGAAAUCAGUUAGGAGCUGGGCAGACAUGCUUGUCACUGGAGAAACUGAGGCUCGAUUGCCACUGUAGUGUAUCAUUUGCUGAUCUAGUUGAUGUGAGGCAUGCUCUUGCAAUGAUUUCUGAGUUGGCAUCUAAAUAUCUUUAUUCUAGAUCGCAUGCAUUAGAGGUUCUACUUCGAUUGACGUGCCUGCAGAAGAUAUGUUUUUUAGUGAUUCUGCUAAGGGUUAAACCCCCAAGGAAGUAUGCUUAUGCUAUUCAGAGCUUUGUGGUAUUGCUGCUCGAGAUACUGGUGCAUCCGCCUGGGAAAUAGCACCAGUGAGAAUUCAACAUCUACUCUGGUUUCUGAUAAUGAAUGGCUUGCUACUGAUUUCCUUGUAGGAAUAUUGUCGUUCUUUAAGAUACUGAUAUUUUGUGGAUACGGGUGGAUUUUGGCAAUUCCUCUCUGUAAUGCAGUUAAGCUACUGAUUUUUUGGGUUGUAGCAACAACAAGAUAAGUUUCUCUUGGAUUUUACUUUGAGCACUCUUAAAGUAGCUUUGAAUUGUGGAUGGAGAUUGAUUAAUGAAGUUUAUGAUAAAUGAAUGUGUUGUGCAGUUUCUUUGAGCUAUUCAAUUUGUUAUAGUGAAGAGGUGAUGAUGAACAUAAAUUGAACUGAGUAUAAGAAACAAGGAGCAACAUUCAAGUAUAAUGGAAAUACAAACAUUACACCAAACCAAAUGAGGGCAUUUAAGGAGUACUGCUUGUUGAAUGGUCUGAACUCUAAUGCAACAACAAAUGGGUAUUCUACCAGUAGAUCACUAGAGGAUAUUCUUGUGUUGGAUCCCCAAACUGGACCUCUGGUUGCACCACUAAAUCUCAGUACGAAGGGCAAAGUGGUUUAUUGUGUGAUGGUUCCCAUCAGGUCAGCAAUCUUCUGCAACAAUCUCUCCUCCCCACGGGCGUCCUGUACCAGUUCUGUAACAAGUGCCACAAUUAACCAAAGCUCAUCUUUUUUAUGAAAUGCAUGGACGAAACUGAAGGGCUGUCAGUAGAUACCUUAUUUAUUAACCAUGAGUUGUACCAGCAGUGAUCUUCUCAUUUUGGUUCCUGCUACUUUUAGUUGAUAGAAACUGCCAGUUCUGCCGUUUCGAAGCGUGAAUCAAAAUGGAUGACUUGGCUGAAACAAAUGUUGGCGUUUUCGUUUUGAUGUUUUUUUCCUUCUUUCUUACUCUAUAAGAAGAAUGGCCUCAACAUAACUUAGUUACUUAUGUGCUUUACUAUGUUCAGUGCGCACUCCUCAAAUUGAUGGGAAGGAGAUAUUCCGCCAAGCCAGGUCUGACUAUUAUGGGGUUCAGUUCUUAGCCACGAUUUUUAUUGACAAUUUCGAAAGUUUACAACUAUACGAAAUUGUGGAUAUUUGGAACUGCAGGAGUACUUUGUCUUAUGAGCAGUUCAGUGCAUUUCUUUCCAACAUCAAGGAGCUGAACUGUCAAAAUCAAACUCGAGAGGAAACGUUAAGGAAGGCAGAAUAAUUAUUUGGUACAGACAUGAGACAACAAAGAUCAUUACUUAUCACUCCAAGGGCUGCUUAUUCGUAACAACCAUUAGGACUUAAAGGCGUAUUCCAAAGAUGGUGCAUCAUAAUAGAAUGGCGCAAAAGAAGCCAAAGAAACCAAACUGGCACCUUCUAAUAAUUGAAAAGGUUGGAAAUUUGGGAUAUGAAGAGAUUGAAUGGGAGUAAAAUAGAAGUUGUUGCUAGUCACUGGGUACACCAUUCUCUCUAUCAUGUUACAUGAUCUGAUACCAUCAGUUGUUACCCCCAACCGUCCAAGCCGCCAUCUAGUGUAUAUUUGUUGGUUCAUGUAUGCUGUGUAACCUUUACAGUGGAUUACAAGUUUAACUAAAUGGAAGAUGUCGGGUUUUUUCCAAAUUGUGUCAGCAUCCUAAUUUUGUGAAUACUUGCAUUGUCAUUUGUAUAUUUUGGUUUGGAAUACAGUGGAUAUGAAUCUGACACGUUUGGAAUUUGA